rnacentral:rRNA from 1 species
UACGAAGGGGGCUAGCGUUGUUCGGAAUCACUGGGCGUAAAGCGCACGUAGGCGGAUCGUUAAGUCGGGGGUGAAAUCCCAGGGCUCAACCCUGGAACUGCCUUCGAUACUGGCGAUCUUCGAGUCCGGGAGAGGUGAGUGGAACUGCGAGUGUAGAGGUGAAAUUCGUAGAUAUUCGCAAGAACACCAGUGGCGAAGGCGGCUCACUGGCCCGGUACUGACGCUGAGGUGCGAAAGCGUGGGGAGCAAACAGG